rnacentral:rRNA from 1 species
AGUGAACGCUGGCGGUAGGCCUAACACAUGCAAGUCGAACGGCAGCACAGUAAGAGCUUGCUCUUACGGGUGGCGAGUGGCGGACGGGUGAGGAAUACAUCGGAAUCUACUUUUUCGUGGGGGAUAACGUAGGGAAACUUAAGCUCAUACCGCAUACGCCCUACGGGUGAAAGCAGGGGAUCUUCGGACCUUGCGCGAUUGAAUGAGCCGAUGUCGGAUUAGCUAGUUGGCGGGGUAAAGGCCCACCCAGGCGGCGAUCCGUAGCUGGUCUGAGAGGAUGAUCAGCCACACUGGAGCUGAGACACGGUCCAGACUCCUACGGGAGGCAGCAGUGUGGAAUAUUGGACAAUGGGCGCAAGCCUGAUCCAGCCAUACCGCGUGGGUGAAGAAGGCCUUCGGGUUGUAAAGCCCUUUUGUUGGGAAAGAAAAGCAGCAGGUUAAUACCCCGCUGUUCUGACGGUACCCAAAGAAUAAGCACCGGCUAACUUCGUG